GGUCAGGGCGGGACGCGCGCCUUCCCAGGCCCGAGCGGGGCUGGCCGCGCGUCAGGAGCCCGCCCGAGCCGCCCCUACCCCGGCCGGCCCGCCUCCGGAGUGCGCUUCCACCUGCGGGCCCGGCUCCCAGCCCGCGGGCGCCUGGAGCCGCGGCGGCGGGAGGAGCUGUGGCAUGAGGACUGGACAAUAGGAUAUCUGAGGACAAUCUAUAAAUUAAGAAUCAAAUGAUAGAUCUUAUUCACCUCUUGGAAGUGAGGAAUAAAGGGACCACAGACGCUUGUUUGUAAGGCUUAGUUCCCACGUGGAUGAUCUUUAGGUGACUCUUGACACCUGACAAACAGCAAUCAUGGAAGUGCACCUUAAGAAGGAGGCGGCAUAGAACUGAAGAAUCCUGGAAUGCUCAAUUGUUACCCUGCACAACUGCCCAGGACAGUCCCAGGACCUACAACAGAAUCUGCAUGAGCAAGAAAUUAACUUGUGUUGGAUUAAGCCACUAAAAUACUGGAGGGGCUGUUCCCCUUUAUUGCUUAGCCUACCUUAUGUACACAGUAUUCCCCCCUUAGCCGAGGUUGUGCUGUGUGGUUCAAGUUACCCAUGGCCAAUGGCAACCAGAAAAUGUUAAGUGGAAAAAUUCUAGAAAU